AACCACCUCCUGAAUGACACGUCCCAGACACAGCUGUGAGCCAUGGGCCCCUAAGAAGCAGAGCAAGAAGAGGCAGAGUGGGUGGAACUCCUGAAAAGGGACAGGCACCACCUCCCUUGCACCAGGACAGGACUGCAUGAGGGGCUGGAGGAUGGAAAACCCUGAAGGGAAGCAGGCGCGCUUAUUCUUCAUCUUUACGGUGUUCUCACUCUCUAAGGGCCUCAUCGGCCAGCACCAGGAAUCUGCACUCACUGGGUCUGGCCUCAGUGAAGAGCUAGCGGUCAUGGUAACCCCAGUCAAGAGCAACAGGAGGUCUCCAGCUGUCCCUGAAGUGUCCCAGCUGGGUCUACAAGGCUGCCAUGCAGAGUGACCAUGCACUGGCCAUGGCUCCUACAGGCUGCAUAAUGCCUCUGUCCCCGCAGCAGCCUAAAGCAUGACCGCCUGUGUCCUAACAAAGCUGCAGCAAGCAUUUCAUCAGCGCCUUUCAGAUUCGAGGAACACAUACGGAGCACGCGGCAUGGGGUGAUACCCAGGGACACUAACGCGGCCAGGAGGAGCGAGACAGAGGCGAAAGCCAGGCACCGUCUGGCAGCUGUCUCGCUGUGUUUGAGUGUUCUUCUCCCCAAAUAGAAAUGAAAGUCUCUUCAAACCAGAUGCAACAGUAAAGUGGUCCAAUUUUGCUUGCCGGGAACGAACAAGGAAUGGCGAUGGCCACCCGGCAAGUCCCCUCUUCUGGAGCACAGAGCACCAACUCCGGCCAUUGCUGGGGCACAGUUCAAGUGUCCAGUCUCUUCAAAGACCUGAGUCCCACGACAACCCUCUAGGGGAUUUCUACCUGGACCAAGGCAACCCAGACCCCGAGCAGCUGCCACACACAGGUCAGGAGCAUCCCUCAAAGUCAGCACUGAGGGCCAGGUGUGGUGGCUCACGCCUGUAAUCCCAGCACUUUGGGAGGCUGAGGCGGGUGGAUCACGAGGUCAAGAGAUCGAGACCAUCCUGGCUAACACGGUGAAACCCCAUCUCUACUAAAAAUACAAAAAUUAGCUAGGCAUGGUGGCAUGCACCUGUAGUCCCAGCUCCUCGGGAGGCUGAGGCAGGAGAAUCACUUGAACUUGGGAGGCGGAGGUUGAAGUGAGCCGAGAUUGUGCCACUGCACUCCAGCCUGGCAAAGCAAGACUCCGUCUUAAAAAAAAAAAAAAAAAAAAAAAAGCACUGAACAGGAGGGUGGGGUGGAAACUGACUUGCUGGGAGCAGUCCCUGUACCAGGGCUGGUUCAGCUUUUCCCACCCUCUCCCUUCAACCAAGAUCUGUCAGUCAAAGCAAAAGCAGUCUAUGUGCCUAAUGUCAACUAACACUCUCUUGGCUCAAGUGCUCAGGCAGCAAAGUUCAGAGGCCCCACCUCCUGCGCGUCAAAAAUUCCAGAGCCAUCUACAGGAAGACAGGACAAGGCCAACCUCAGGGAACGCUAUCGGCAUUCAAGGACUUCACGCAACAGGGGCUUAUCAGAUAGUGAACAUGCCAGGCCCUGUGUCAGAUGCUGAGGACAUCACAAGGGGAAGAACACUGAGAAGAGGCCUUCGACCCGGACUCUUUGGUCUUCAUUGGUAGCUAAGAUCUCCUUCGGCAGACUCAAAAAGACCUCGUGAACUAAGUACCCAGAAAGUGCGCUGGAAGCCCCCCAGUGGGAAUUGGGAAAUGGGCCUUCUACAGGCUCAGAGGGUCCCUCUCCACCCUUCGCUUUCACACAGGCACUGAACGCCUAACGUCACGAUGCCAAAGAAAUGGACGAUCCUACAGUCGUCUACAUCAGCAGCAAGAAAUCAUUUUGGUUACAGUCACUUGAGUCUUAGCUAACCCUCAUUAGAGUCUCAUUAUUUAAGUGUCAAUGGUAUAAUAGGACAGUUCUAUAUUAACUAGAAUGGUUUAAAAAUCAUGACACCCUAUUUCCCAGCAUUUCUGAAUGGCAAAAUGUUUACUGCUCACUGGUGUAUGUGUUUAGUUGUUGUUUAGGUAAACUGAGCCAAUAAUAAACAUAUAUUAUUGGUCGUUCUCCUCCAUUAAACUAUGUUUGAUCUUUCCUCUGUAAAUCCCCCAUAGUAGUAGUCACUGUGUACUUUCACACAUUUCAAAUGCAAUAUGUACACAUGUAUGCAUAUAUACACAGAUAAUAUCCAAAUACAUAUGUACACAAACACACUCUGGGUUGUGGUAUUUAAAUACACACACACAUACAUAUCACAUGUAUAACUUUUUAAUUUCUAAAAACAAUACUUAGUCUCAUUAUUUGAAAUACAUUUUCUCUUCCCUUCUGUCAGAGAUCACUUCUUUAGUGCUGGCUGUGGUCUCCGCUCCUGCAGAGUUCUAGCCUCCCAGUGGAACCUGCCGACGCCCUGAGGAAGGAUCCCUCGCAGCACAACCAUGCAGGGUCCAGAAAGCAGAAAGCAGCUAACUGCAUUCCGCUCUAGCCAAACAGAACUCACCCCAUCUGUAUCAUCUACGCAUAAACUUUGCAAAUAAAGUCCUGGAUCCAGUACUCUGAAAUAACUUAAUGAAAACACAUUCUACUGCUAAAGUACCUUUGCCUUGGCUUCCAGUGCUGUGAUACACUUGUACGCGGUAAUGCAAAUAGGCCUGGAACGAGCAUACUUUGCCCUCUCGACCCGGCCAAUUCAGACUCUACACAUCUGUAGUGAGCCCCAAGGUUCUACAUUUCCUUUUCUUUUUUUCCUUUUCUUUUUUUUUUUUUAAGAGACAGAGUCACCCAG
rnacentral:lncRNA from 10 species